rnacentral:rRNA from 1 species
GACGAACGCUGGCGGCGUGCUUAACACAUGCAAGUCGAACGGUAAGGCCCUUCGGGGUACACGAGUGGCAAACGGGUGAGUAACACGUGGGUGAUCUGCCCUGCACUUCGGGAUAAGCCUGGGAAACUGGGUCUAAUACCGGAUAGGGCCACUGCCUGCAUGGAUGGUGGUGGAAAGCUUUUGCGGUGUGGGAUGGGCCCGCGGCCUAUCAGCUUGUUGGUGGGGUGAUGGCCUACCAAGGCGACGACGGGUAGCCGGCCUGAGAGGGUGACCGGCCACACUGGGACUGAGAUACGGCCCAGACUCCUACGGGAGGCAGCAGUGGGGAAUAUUGCACAAGGGGCGCAAGCCUGAUGCAGCGACGCCGCGUGAGGGAUGACGGCCUUCGGGUUGUAAACCUCUUUCAGCACCGACGAAGCGCAAGUGACGGUAGGUGCAGAAGAAGGACCGGCCAACUACGUGCCAGCCGCCGCCGUAA